rnacentral:rRNA from 1 species
UGCAUGUCUAAGUACAUGCCGUAUUAAGGCGAAACCGCGAAUGGCUCAUUAAAUCAGUUAUGGUUCCUUGGAUCGUACCUUACUACUUGGAUAACUGUGGCAAUUCUAGAGCUAAUACAUGCAGCAGAGCUCCGACCUUCGGGGACGAGCGCUUUUAUUAGACCAAAACCAAUCGGACCUCGUGUCCGUACUGUGUGGUGACUCUGUAUAACUUUGGGCUGAUCGCACGGGCUCGUCCCGGCGACGUAUCUUUCAAGUGUCUGCCUUAUCAACUGUCGAUGGUAGGUUACGCGCCUACCAUGGUCGUAACGGGUGACGGGGAAUCAGGGUUCGAUUCCGGAGAGGGAGCCUGAGAAACGGCUACCACAUCCAAGGAAGGCAGCAGGCGCGCAAAUUACCCACUCCCGGAACGGGGAGGUAGUGACGAAAAAUAACAAUACGGGACUCUUUUGAGACCCCGUAAUUGGAAUGAGUACACUCUAAAUCCUUUAACCAGGAUCCAUUGGAGGGCAAGUCUGGUGCCAGCAGCCGCGGUAAUUCCAGCUCCAAUAGCGUAUAUUAAAGUUGUUGCGGUUAAAAAGCUCGUAGUUGGAUCUCAGUUCCAGACGAGUGGUCCGCCUACCGGUGGUUACCGCUCGUUCUGAACACGCAGUCGACUUCCCUUGAUGAUCUUCACCGGUUGUCUUGGGUGGUCGACAAGUUUACUUUGAAAAAAUUAGAGUGCUCAAAGCAGGCGUGACGCCUGAAUAAUGGUGCAUGGAAUAAUGGAAUAGGACCUCGGUUCUAUUUUGUUGGUUUUCGGAACACGAGGUAAUGAUUAAGAGGGACAGACGGGGGCAUUCGUAUUGCGACGCUAGAGGUGAAA